GCAAGUCGAGGGGCAGCAUAAAUUACUUGUAAUUUGAUGGCGACCGGCGAACGGGUGCGUAACGCGUAUGCAACCUACCUUUUACUAGAGAAUAGCCAAGAGAAAUUUUGAUUAAUGCUCUAUACACUUUAAGACUCACAUGAGUCUAAAAGAAAAGCUCCGGCGGUAAAAGAUGGGCAUGCGUUCUAUUAGCUUGUAGGUGAGGUAACGGCUCACCUAAGCUUCGAUAGAUAGGGGUCCUGAGAGGGAGACCCCCCACACUGGUACUGAGACACGGACCAGACUUCUACGGAAGGCAGCAGUAAGGAAUAUUGGACAAUGGAGGCAACUCUGAUCCAGCCAUGCCGCGUGAAGGAAGAAGGCCCUAUGGGUCGUAAACUUCUUUUAUACAGGAAGAAAUCUUUCCACGUGUGGAAAGUUGACGGUACUGCAAGAAUAAGGAUCGGCUAACUCCGUGCCAGCAGCCGCGGUAAUACGGAGGAUCCAAGCGUUAUCCGGAAUUAUUGGGUUUAAAGGGUCCGCAGGCUGUUUGUUAAGUUAGAGGUGAAAUCCUACCGCUCAACGGUAGAACUGCCUUUAAAACUGGCAAACUUGAGUUAUUGUGAAGUAAUUAGAAUGUGUAGUGUAGCGGUGAAAUGCAUAGAUAUUACACAGAAUACCGAUUGCGGAAGCAGAUUACUAACAAUUAACUGACGCUGAGGGACGAAAGCGUGGGUAGCGAACAGGAUUAGAUACCCUGGUAGUCCACGCCGUAAACGAUGGUCACUAGCUGUUUGAUGUACAUUGGUACAUUGAGUGGCUAAGCGAAAGUGAUAAGUGACCCACCUGGGGAGUACGCUCGCAAGAGUGAAACUCA
rnacentral:rRNA from 1 species